rnacentral:rRNA from 1 species
UACGUAGGGUGCAAGCGUUGUCCGGAAUUAUUGGGCGUAAAGAGCUCGUAGGCGGUCUGUCGCGUCUGCUGUGAAAACUCAGGGCUUAACCCUGAGCUUGCAGUGGGUACGGGCAGACUAGAGUGCGGUAGGGGAGACUGGAAUUCCUGGUGUAGCGGUGAAAUGCGCAGAUAUCAGGAGGAACACCGGUGGCGAAGGCGGGUCUCUGGGCCGUAACUGACGCUGGAGACGCGAAAAGCGUGGGGAGCAAACAGG